AUGAAAUGACUGACCUUUGCUUUGUGUUUCUCCAGUCCAGCUCAACUGUAUUUGGAAAGCAUUGUGUGGGGAAUCCAGAGCUUGAACCAAUUCAUCCAUCACUGCAGCACAGCAGGUCAACAAGCCUUUGGCAUCAGUCUCUAAUACAUACCAGUCAACGCCUGGAAAGGGCUCGAACGAUACUUAUGGAGGAAUCCAAAAGACAACCGUGAGCUGCGCCUCAGCCUGAAGGAGAAUUAGUCAACACGUUUUCUUGGAAAGACAGGGUCUUGUCAUAGUUAGUGAAGCCUUCGACAAUGCAAUACACAAUUGGAAGGGCAGUCGGGUUGUCCUGUUACUACCAAGUCACAUUAGCCUGUGUGCAUGGUGUGCUUUGUAGGUAAUUGUUCAUAAACGUACAAACAUUUAAGCGUU